rnacentral:rRNA from 1 species
CCUACGGGCGGCAGCAGUGGGGAAUAUUGCACAAUGGGGGGAACCCUGAUGCAGCAACGCCGCGUGGGUGAAGAAGUACUUCGGUAUGUAAAGUUCUGUCAGCAGGGAAGAAAAUGACGGUACCUGACUAAGAAGCCCCGGCUAACUACGUGCCAGCAGCCGCGGUAAUACGUAGGGGGCAAGCGUUAUCCGGAUUUACUGGGUGUAAAGGGAGCGUAGACGGUUAAGCAAGUCUGAAGUGAAAGCCCGGGGCUCAACCACGGGACUGCUUUGGAAACUGUUGAGCUAGAGUGCAGGAGAGGUAAGCGGAAUUCCUAGUGUAGCGGUGAAAUGCGUAGAUAUUAGGAGGAACACCAGUGGCGAAGGCGGCUUACUGGACUGUAAAUGACGUUGAGGCUCGAAGGCGUGGGGAGCAAACAGGAUUAGAUACCCCUGUAGUC